GAUGAACGCUGGCGGCGUGCCUAAUACAUGCAAGUCGAGCGAACAGACGAGGAGCUUGCUCCUCUGACGUUAGCGGCGGACGGGUGAGUAACACGUGGAUAACCUACCUAUAAGACUGGGAUAACUUCGGGAAACCGGAGCUAAUGCCGGAUAAUAUAUUGAACCGCAUGGUUCAAUAGUGAAAGACGGUUUUGCUGUCACUUAUAGAUGGAUCCGCGCCGCAUUAGCUAGUUGGUAAGGUAACGGCUUACCAAGGCAACGAUGCGUAGCCGACCUGAGAGGGUGAUCGGCCACACUGGAACUGAGACACGGUCCAGACUCCUACGGGAGGCAGCAGUAGGGAAUCUUCCGCAAUGGGCGAAAGCCUGACGGAGCAACGCCGCGUGAGUGAUGAAGGUCUUCGGAUCGUAAAACUCUGUUAUUAGAGAAGAACAAAUGUGUAAGUAACUAUGCACGUCUUGACGGUACCUAAUCAGAAAGCCACGGCUAACUACGUG
rnacentral:rRNA from 1 species